rnacentral:misc_RNA from 1 species
AAAGUCGUAACAAGGUCUCCGUUGGUGAACCAGCGGAGGGAUCAUUACCGAGUUGCAAAACUCCCACACCAUUGUGAACGUCACCGCAUCGUUUCUUCGGCGGGCGGCCCCCCGACCGGGGCCGCGCCUGCCCCUCACGGGGCGGCAGCCCGCCGGAGGCGUCCAAACUCUCAGCAUCUAGUGGCAUCUCUGAGUAGCUUACAAAAUAAGUUAAAACUUUCAACAACGGAUCUCUUGGCUCUG